UACAGAGGGGGCAAGCGUUGUUCGGAAUUACUGGGCGUAAAGCGCACGUAGGCGGUUUGUUAAGUCGGAUGUGAAAUCCCUCGGCUCAACUGAGGAAGUGCAUCCGAAACUGGCAAGCUUGAGUACGAAAGAGGGUCGCGGAAUUCCCGGUGUAGAGGUGAAAUUCGUAGAUAUCGGGAGGAACACCGGUGGCGAAGGCGGCGACCUGGGUCGAUACUGACGCUGAGGUGCGAAAGCGUGGGGAGCAAACAGG
rnacentral:rRNA from 1 species